GAGGCAUACCGGACGGUCGCCGUGACGUUGAUUGCGUCUCGGAGGAAAGUCCGAACACCAAAGGGCAGCGAGCCGGAUAACGUCCGGGCAUCUUGGCCGUUCAGGCGGUUCUAGAUGACGACAAGUGCAGCAGAGAACAGGCCAGCCUCCUUCGGGCGGUGAUGGGUGAAACGGUGAGGUAAGAGCUCACCGGCACCGGUGGUAACAUACGGUGGCCAGGCAAACUCCUCGUGGUGCAAGACCAAAUAGGGAAGCGUGUUUCGGGCGGCCCGCCCGACGUCGGCCUCGGCCGACAACGUUUCCGGGUAGGUCGCUUGAGCCGUUCGGUAACGAUCGGCCUAGAUGAAUGAUCGUCAACGUUCGAGUAGCGUUAGCUGCUGAGCGAAACAAAAUUCGGCUUAUAGGUAUGUCUCAUAG
rnacentral:RNase_P_RNA from 2 species